rnacentral:rRNA from 1 species
CGGCGUAUCUUUCAAGUAUUCAUUUACAUUAUUUUUAUGUUGUGAUCUCUGAGCUCCAGAUUGGGACAGAAAGAAGCAUCAUAAUUUUCUGUGAUGCAUUUGCUUGUUUGGUGCUUGGGGAUGUUUGAGGCAGAUUUGUAACCGCCGUUUUGAGGCCAGCUUGCUGGUACCCAAACAGCGUUAGCAUCUUUUGUCUUGGACAUUUGAGUAUGGUUUACGGGCAUUUAUUGGUUCGAUCUGAUUGUAAGUUACGGUCGCAUGCGACACGUGCUUUUCAUUUAGAUCGGUCCAGUUAAUGCUCUCGUACUCGCUCCCCAUGUAAAAGCCGGUCAUCUAUCCGACCCGUCUUGAAACACGGACCAAGGAGUUUAUCGUGUGCGCAAGUUUUUGGGUGUUAAAAACCUAAAAGCGAAAUGAAAGUAAAUGGCUCUUUAGAGUCUGACGUGCGAUCUUGUAAAAAAGGGCAGCAUGGCCCCAUUCUAACUGUUUACAGUAGGGUGGAGGAAGAGCGUACGCGGUGAGACCCGAAAGAUGGUGAACUAUUCCUGAGCAGGACGAAGCCAGAGGAAACUCUGGUGGAAGUCCGAAGC